rnacentral:rRNA from 1 species
UACGUAGGUGGCAAGCGUUGUCCGGAUUUACUGGGCGUAAAGAGCGCGCAGGCGGUCGUUCAAGUCGCGUGUGAAAGCCCCCGGCUCAACUGGGGAGGGUCACGCGAUACUGAUCGACUCGAAGGCAGGAGAGGGUAGUGGAAUUCCCGGUGUAGUGGUGAAAUGCGUAGAUAAUCGGGAGGAACACCAGUGGCGAAGGCGACUUCCUGGACCAGUACCGACGUCAGGCACGAAAGCGUGGGGAGCAAACAGG